UUUUUUUUUUUUUAAAUUUUUUUUUUAAUUUUUUUUUAUUUAUUUAUGAUAGGCACACAGUGAGAGAGAGAGAGGCAGAGACACAGGCAGAGGGAGAAGCAGGCUCCAUGCACCGGGAGCCUGACGUGGGAUUCGAUCCCAGGUCUCCAGGAUCGCGCCCUGGGCCAAAGGCAGGCGCCAAACCGCUGCGCCACCCAGGGAUCCCUUUCUCUUCAUUCCUCAUUCAAUCAAGGCCUGUCUCCUAUGUAUCUCUCUCCACUCCUUCAGCCACAUCUUCACUUAAAAACUUUUUAUUUAACAUAACAGAAUCACUCACUAAUAUCUGUAUCAUACUCUUCUAAUUCACACUCUACACUGCUGUCAGGUGAUGUCACUUUCCUGUUUAAAAUCUUUCAACGGGCCUUAUAGUCCUUGUAAAUAAAUCAAAUUCUUUAGUAUACGUCAUACAUGAUUCCUUUACCCUCUCUGCUUCCUACUCUCUAGCCUCAUUUCUGAGCAUUUGCCUAUUCAUGCAUUCUACUGAACAUACUAUUCUCCUCAGUGAGACCAAUUCUUUCUUCCCUCUAUGCCUUUGUGCAUACCAUUCCUUCUCCAUUGGUUAAAUUCCCCCAACUCAAUCACUUCCUCUACAAAUAAAUGACACAAUUUUUACUAUUUUUUUUAAAGCCAACUUUUACUUCUUUCUCUAGGGGGAGAAAAUCUCCCCUGAAGAAUGCUCACACUGACAGAUUUAAUCCCUUCAAUGAAACUUUUUUGGAGUGCAUACACAUCUAUCAAGUUAUAAAACAAAAUGUUUUUCUAAGGAAUUCUAACCAAAAAAAUUGAAAACCAUUACCCUAGAGAAUUGUAUCUGAAUGUCCUUAAUGUAUAAUUUUAAAAUGUUUUCCUCAAUCCUAUUAACUUUACUGCCCUAAAUCUUUAUUAAUACAAGUGUCAAUAAGGUCUGUUAAAAAGCUCUGAACAAAAUGGAACUCACAGUGUUAUAGUUAUAAGCUUGCCAAAAGCAGUUACUGAAUGGCAUUAUUUUCAUGGUAAUAACUGAAGUGCAAAGAAUAAUUUUUACUUUUGGGGUUGGAGAUGUCUAGGCUAGAGUAAAAAAAAAAAUAUCUAGGUCACAGUUGGUGGAUGGCAUUUUUUGGGGAAAAGUUUAUUACAGGAAUUGUUUCAAUUGAUUUUGAUCUUAAAAACACAUUUAGGGGGCAGCCGUGGUGGCGCAGUGGUUUAGCGCCGCCUGCAGCCCAGGGCCUGAUCCUGGAGACCUGGGAUGGAGUCCCAGGUCGGGCUCCCUGAAUGGAGCGGACCCUGCUUCUCCCUCUGCCUCUCUCUCUCAUGAAUAAACAAAAUCUUUAAAAAAAAAAAAAAAAAAAAGAAUCUAAAUUCAGAAGUCAAACAAGUUUACCGAGUUGAUAAAAUGAUUGUUUUCAAUUUUUGUUCAUAGGGGCACUCUUGCUCUACUUUAGGUUUGCUGAGGAUAUAACGCAGAUUUGCUUAUCCCAAGUUAAUAAGGUUAUUUCAACCCCUUUUCUUCUCUACCCUGACCUACACUAAAAGCAUAUACUCAUUUUCUCUUAAUCCUGUUCUUUUAAUGUGACAUCUUAAAAAUGUUUAAUAACCCAAGACAACCAUACUGUUUGAAAUUUCCUUAGCAGUAUCUAUUUAUAAUAGUAAAGACCUCUAACUCUACUGCCAAUUCUAAUACUACCUCCUUAGUUAGAUACUAUGAGAGGCUUCAUGGGGGAAAACAAAAUAGUCAUAACUACAAUAUUGUUUGUGUCAUAAUGAUUUUCCAAAUGCUACAAUCUAACAACAUAAGCUACCUGUUUUUGUUUUAUACUUUAGCUGUAUUGAAGAAA
rnacentral:lncRNA from 1 species